AUUGAACGCUGGCGGCAGGCCUAACACAUGCAAGUCGAGCGGAUGACGGGAGCUUGCUCCUUGAUUCAGCGGCGGACGGGUGAGUAAUGCCUAGGAAUCUGCCUGGUAGUGGGGGACAACGUUUCGAAAGGAACGCUAAUACCGCAUACGUCCUACGGGAGAAAGCAGGGGACCUUCGGGCCUUGCGCUAUCAGAUGAGCCUAGGUCGGAUUAGCUAGUUGGUGGGGUAAUGGCUCACCAAGGCGGCGAUCCGUAACUGGUCUGAGAGGAUGAUCAGUCACACUGGAAAUGAGACACGGUCCAGACUCCUACGGGAGGCAGCAGUGGGGAAUAUUGGACAAUGGGCGAAAGCCUGAUCCAGCCAUGCCGCGUGUGUGAAGGAGGUCUUCGGAUUGUAAAGCACUUUAAGUUGGGAGGAAGGGCAGUAAGCUAAUACCUUGCUGUUUUGACGUUACCGACAGAAUAAGCACCGGCUAACUCUGUGCCAGCCGCCGCGGUAAUAC
rnacentral:rRNA from 1 species